AUGGCGCGGCAUCCAUUCCGCGCCCUCUUUCCAGUGGUUUCCCAGUUGGUGUCCGCCCGCUCCCGCCGUUCGUCGGCGACGGCGGCGUCGCCCUCUCCACCCCACGUCGGUGGGAAGGCAGCUACAGGAGCGGCGGCGGAGGCCGCGCACGCUGCCGCCUGCUCCGCUGGGGAGGCGCCCCGCAAGGCUUUGCGCCCUUUCGACCUCCUGAGGAGGAAGAAGUACGUCUUCGCAGGCCUCCUCGGCUUCUUCUACCUGCACAUGAUCAGGCACGCACCUCUUGUCGAUAUUAUGUCUAUACUGAGAGGAUUAAGAAAACCCAAAGAAGAAGACGAAAAGGUUGAGGAUGUUGGCUCAAACAAAGAUCCUAUCAACUCUGAAGCUGACACAGAAGAGGUGAAAGAGGGGGCUGCCAUCUCAGCAAAGAGUUCUGCACCUGGCUUGCACGGAGAUAAUGCUUAUGACAAAAAAGAGAGGAAGGGCAAUGCUGGAAUCUCAGCAAACAUGGUACUUAAGAUCCCAACGACUCCCGGUUCCCACCUUGAGAUUGUUAUCAGAGCUGAUAUGCCGAUGAAUCAACUGGCUGCCUUAUCCGAGUCUGUAAAAUCCGGAAAUUUCACAUUUAACCAGGACGAUCUAAGCAUUGCUUUGAGACAUGCCGCAAAUGAUCGCAUCACUUUCCUGAAAAACAAAGAAAACUUUGUCUUAGAGAAAGAUAAAGAACAAUUAAAACUUGAGCAGGCUGCCGUUGCUAAACUAAAUGAGUUGAUUGAAAAUCUUUCAGCACCACCAAAACCUGAAUCUGAUAUGCCAGCUUUAGUUGAGGAUUUGCUUAAGCAUUGGUUCAAUGAUUUGGUGCUUUAUCUUGUUACCACUAUCUUGGGAUCUGUUUACCUGUAUCUUAAGUCCAGGAUUGAGGAGCUGAACAUUGCUGAUUUGCUAAAUUUGGCUACCGGAGCAGUGUCCUCCUGGAUAGAGACAGAAAUUGAGAUUCUUCGAUUGCCGGUUUGCCCAUUUUCAGGUAUGAUUGUUCUGUUAGCAGCAAGUGAAACUGUGUUGUCCAUUAGUGUUGAGAAUAAUACUGAACCCGAGGUUGUGAAAGGCCCAGAGUUCACCCAGCUCCCUCAGAUAUCAGACGAGGAUAUGCUUUUUCUGUACAAGUGGAUGCUUGAAGAGUACAGACUGAUGAAACCUAAGAAUGCCGAAGAGAAAGAAAGGAUUGAUACAGCCAAGGCUCUUCUAAAAGAGUUAAUCCGCACUAAAUAG
rnacentral:rRNA from 1 species